GCUUAAGUAGCUCAGUGGUAGAGCGUCAGGCUGAAAACCUGAAGGUCAUUGGUCCGAUUCCAUUCUUAGGCA
rnacentral:ncRNA from 15 species